UACGUAGGGCGCAAGCGUGUCCGGAAUUAUUGGGCGUAAAGAGCUCGUAGGCGGUCUGUUACGUCCGCUGUGAAAACCCAGGGCUUAACCCUGGGCUUGCAGUGGAUACGGGUAGACUAGAGGCAGGUAGGGGAGAAUGGAAUUCCCGGUGUAGCGGUGAAAUGCGCAGAUAUCGGGAGGAACACCGGUGGCGAAGGCGGUUCUCUGGGCCUGACCUGACGCUGAGGAGCGAAAGCGUGGGGAGCGAACAGG
rnacentral:rRNA from 1 species